rnacentral:rRNA from 1 species
GGGUUGUGAGGUUAAGCGACUAAGCGUACACGGUGGAUGCCCUGGCAGUCAGAGGCGAUGAAGGACGUGCUAAUCUGCGAUAAGCGCCGGUAAGGUGAUAUGAACCGUUAUAACCGGCGAUUUCCGAAUGGGGAAACCCAGUGUGACUCGUCACACUAUCAUUAACUGAAUCCAUAGGUUAAU